AAUAGAUACCCGGGUAGUCCACGCCGUAAACGAUGAGUGCUAAGUGUUAGAGGGUUUUCCGCCCUUUAGUGCUGCAGCUAACGCAUUAAGCACUCCGCCUGGGGAGUACGGCCGCAAGGCUGAAACUCAAAGGAAUUGACGGGGGCCCGCACAAGCGGUGGAGCAUGUGGUUUAAUUCGAAGCAACGCGAAGAACCUUACCAGGUCUUGACAUCCUCUGCCAACCCUAGAGAUAGGGCGUUCCCCUUCGGGGGACAGAGUGACAGGUGGUGCAUGGUUGUCGUCAGCUCGUGUCGUGAGAUGUUGGGUUAAGUCCCGCAACGAGCGCAACCCUUGAUCUUAGUUGCCAGCAUUUAGUUGGGCACUCUAAGGUGACUGCCGGUGACAAACCGGNGGAAGUGGGGAUGACGUCAAAUCAUCAUGCCCCUUAUGACCUGGGCUACACACGUGCUACAAUGGAUGGUACAAAGAGCUGCGAACCCGCGAGGGUAAGCGAAUCUCAUAAAGCCAUUCUCAGUUCGGA
rnacentral:rRNA from 1 species